AUGUAAAUAAUAUCAUGAGUCAACAUUGACAGAUUUUCAAACUAAUUAUUAGGCUUUAACAUGCCAUGUUCUGAUACUUGACGUCAAUUAAACUUAAUGAUGUAAAUAUACAUAAACUAAGUAAUAUCAGAUCUAGCUGGAAUAUAUUCGAUUGAAUUGAGUAACUAUCAAUUCAAUGUUCAGUUGUGACUCAAGUGUAACAUCAUAUUCUAUGAUAGUUUCAAAUAAGCCAUUAAUUAUUCCUACCAUCAGAAUGAUACAUAAGAGUGAUGUGAAUAUUUUGUUUUGAUGUAUAUUAGUAAUUAAACGGCUACAAAUUAUGAGAAAAUUGAAUUUUUUUUCAAAAAUGAUAGAAACCUCAAUUUUUUUAUUAAUAAAUAACAGACGUUUAUAUAAACAAUACACAUAAUAAUUUUAAAAAAUGAAACAGCAUACUUUGGAAUCAUGUAAGUUCAUGGGAAUCAAUUGUCUUAUUUUUUAAAAGAUUCAUGAGAUGUUUUUUCGUGGAUUUGUUUUGACAGAUGAUGGAUUAUUAUUUCCAGUAUUUUUAUUAUUUGUUUUUUCAAAAAUUAAUCCACAGCGAACGCUGUCUAUUCCAAGAUUCAAGUUUGCCAUAUGUCAAACUGUAGAGAAGAUAAUUCUUAAUUAAGAAGAAAUGCAUAUUCAAUAUAGUUUUACUAGAGUCCCGCCUUAAGACACUGUGUCAUACAUUUCACUUUGUUAAAGGUUUUGUAACCAUAAUCAUGUGCUAUGUUUGUUUGCCGAGUUAAUAGUAGACAAAAAAAGAAACGCCUUCACAAUAAGAUUUUUAAUGCCCCACCUUAACACCUAACACCAUAACCCAAGGACCAUAAAUUCACAAUUUUGGUAGUGGUUUCCUUGCUCAGUGUAACCAUGUGCUUACAGAAACUUCUAGUUGUUUCAGAAGCUGAAAUGUUCAGAUGUUAACGCACGACGGCCAAUGUCGACAGAAAACAAAAAGUAAUGGUCAUCUGGGUGACUCAGGUGUUCUAAAAAAAAUAGCAAACUGAACUUCUUAUAGCUUUACUGGUUUCUCAUACUUUUUUCCCGGAGCUGAAAUUUAACAAAAUACUUAUCUGAAGUUUUUAAUACGUGAAAGAUUUUUACAUUUUAAGCAGUAUGUUUUGCAUUAUAAUUGAAUACCAAUAUAUUUUGGUGUGUUACAUUUUCUUUUACGUUUUAUUCCUGCUGUUAA
rnacentral:sRNA from 1 species